rnacentral:rRNA from 1 species
AUUGAACGCUGGCGGCAGGCCUAACACAUGCAAGUCGAACGAGUGGCGGACGGGUGAGUAAUGUCUGGGAACCUGCCUGAUGGAGGGUGAUAACUACUGGCAACGGUAGCUAAUACCGCAUACCAUCAGAUGUGCCCAGAUGGGAUUAGCUUGUUGGUGGGGUAACGGCUCACCAAGGCGACGAUACCUAGCUGGUCUGAUAGGAGGACCGGCCACACGGGAACUGAGACACGGUCCAGACUCCUACGGGAGGCAGCAGUGGGGAAGAUUGCAAAAUGGGCGCAAGCGUGAUGCAGCCAUGGCGCGUGUAUGAAGAAGGCCGUCGGGUUGUAAAGUACUUUCAGCGGGGAGGCGUUACCCGCAGAAGAAGCACCGGCUAACUCCGUGCCAGCAGCCGCGGUAAUUC